CUGGCGUAACCCACCCAGAAGGCGCCGCCAUAUCCAGUGGCCCAUUUCUUCAUCAUCUUCAAUGGAGGGCUCUCCAGAAGUGGCUGCCGGGGCCAGCUCACCAGCGUCCAGGGGAGGUGGACCAAGCCCGGACCGGGGCUGUCAAGAACAAUCUGCACCUAGAGCCGCCAGCGAGGAUCCCCCAGUCGCCUCCAGAGUCCGCGGG